UGAAAUUUGGUGCCAUGACUCGGAUCCGGGGAUCUCCCUUGAGAGAUCAAUCCCCUGUCCUCCUGCUCUUUGCUCCAUGAGAAAGAUCCACCUACAACCUCUGGUCCUCAGACCAACCAGCCCAAGGAACAUCUCACCAAUUUUAAAUCCGGGAUGCGCAUGAAAGAACGUGCCACAGAAAAUGAGACACCUCAAUGAGGGUUGUGGAAAAUGCACUAGAAUCAACAAACAUGGGGACUAAUUCAACUCGGAUAUCACGUCUUCAGAGAAGUUUUUCCUGCCCUCCUCUCCCUGUAGAAUUAAGUAUUCUUCCACUGUGCCACCCUCUAACUUGUGCUCAUAUCUUCCUCUAUUGUAGUUAUGUGUUCACAUCCCUGUUGUUUUUGUACCGGCUUCUCCCAAAGGGAGACAUUUAGUCUUAUUCUUCCUGGUAACUUUAGCACAGACCUGGCAGAUUGUUGACACUCAACGAAUGUUUAUCGACUCAAAUGCGUUCAGUUGAACAUUGACCUUUGAUCAACUCUGGGAAAAGUCUGCAAAGCUAGUUAGGACAUUCAGAAAUUCAUUUCAUUUCAAUCCUAACUAAAUAAAUUAUUGAAGUCUCAGAACUUCUCAGUACUGGAUUUAGACACAUAGAAACUUGGGUAAAUAACACCUAUAUUGUUAUAUUCCUCAAAAAAAAGUUUAUCUUUUCAUGAAAUGAAUCUGCUGAGGAUAUUUAUAGAAACUGAAUGUAAGGGAGCAGAAUAAAGUGGUGUGUGUGUGUGUGUUUGUGUUUGUGUGUGUGUGUGUUUGUGUGUGUGUAUGUAAUUUGAAGAGUAGGUGGGAGAAGGUUGUGAUAGGAUAGCAGAUCUUGUUUAUGAUAGUCACUAGCUAAAACAGACACUGCCUGAUGCCUUUCCAAUAUCCACUUCCCUUUUCUUUUUUUUUCUUUUUGGAACAGAGUCUCACUCUGUCCCCCAGGCUGGAGUGCAACAGCACGAUCUCGGCUUACUGCAUCCUCUGCCUCCUGGGUUCAAGCAAUUCUCA
rnacentral:lncRNA from 1 species